GGCGGGUGGCAUCACGUUUUGCAUCCUAAUCCUCUUCUUAAUAUCUGGUGCAAAUUAAAGGCUCUUACAACUCUUCUUAAGUCUUAAUACCAAACAUUUUAGGAAGACUUCUGAUAAGGUUGAGGGAUUAAGAGCUGCAUUACAGUAAGUUUAGGCUCAAUUAGGGUUUGAUAGGAAAAAUGUUGCUUUGGUUGACACUGAGAAGCAUAUUCUUCUUGAUUUGGAGAAGUGGAGUAGAAUUGAUGAGCAGAUAUGGCAACAAAAGUCCAGAGCUGAUUAGAUACCUCUUGAAGACAACAAAUCUAAAUACUUUCAUGCUUACACUAAAGUGAGGCAGACACAGAACACUAUCAAAGUUUUACUUAGAUGAUGGUGUAAGAUGUCAUAUUCAUGGGUUAAUAAAGCAGUUAUAAGCUUUUAUCAAAGAUUAAUGGGUAAUGUUGCUUCUACUUUGCCUAUUUGUUGACAAAGACACUACUACAAACUAAUUUUAUGGAGUCACCUCAAAACACCCUAUAAUGUCGCCUCAAAUACGACUGCCAUGACUCUGUAGCUACCGACAGGAUAAGCUCCUUCUAUGGAGUCGCUUGUGCGCAUAGACACACAUUUUGUCUAGACAAAUUAACUAUUCCUAUGUUUCCCUUGUGCCUAUGGUUGAUAAUGCUUGUUCUGUUAAGAACAUCAGACCUAUAGCAUGCUGUAGUGUUCUUUUCAAAAUUAUUUCGAAUUUUAUAAGUAAUGGUUUGAUUGGUGGCAGUCAAUCUGGUUUUAUAAAGGGUUGAGUCAUUUUUUAGAAUAUUAUUUUGAGUAAUGAGCUUAGCAAGGGGUACAGGAAGAAGCAUAUUUUUCAUAGGAGCAUGAUCAAGAUUAACUUACAACAGGCUUAUGACUCAGUUGAAGGACCUUUUAUUUGAUAUUUUUGGUUUGAUUGUUGAUUGGGUUAUGGUUUGCUUCAACACUAUUUCUUACACUUUCAAUGUUAAUAUUAUUUCUUGUCUUUUUUUAUGUCUGUUAUAAAUUUUGUGGGAUGUAAAUAUAUGUUAAUUACUAAUAUAGGACCUGCAAGAAACUGUGAGUGGCAACAAUGUGUCCAUUUAAAUCUCGGAGAUUCUUAUUUUGUGACACUUUCCUGUGCUGUGCUCUGCUCCUCGAAUUUAGUUCACAUAUGACGAAGCAUUGCUAACUCUCUCUUUCUCUGUCUCUCCACUGUGCUCAGUCACUGACUAUCUCCCUUUUUAUAGAACACAAAACACGAAAAUAAGCUGGUCUUUUUUGUACAAUUUAAUCAGGAGGCACCGAGGCAGGGGCUUUACAAUAUACGUUGGCUAUCAAUCGAAGUUAUAGUGCUAGACAGUAGUUAUAUGCACAGAUUGGGAAAAAAAGGAUAAAACGCUUCAAUAAGAUUCCAGAAUAAUCUUGAUCCAUUCAUUGCAGCUUGAGGAUUGUGUUUGGCAAAGCAAUUAUUCAGAAGAUUAUGCUGAUAAGUGAUAACUAUGGAAUACUCCCUCCGUUUCCUAAAGAUCUUCCCACUUUCCGUUUAAGGGUGUUUCCAAAAGAUCUUCCCACUUUUGCUUUAUUCUUUAUUUGGCAAAACAAAUUUCCCUAUUUACCCUCUCAUGUCACUAUCAUAUGGUCCACCAUUACAUUAUUAAUUCAAUUUUACUCCCUUUCUCUCUCCUACUUUAACCCUUUUUUAUUUGUUUAUUUAUCUUAACCUCUUUCUCUCUCCUACUUUACUCACACCAUGCCCCACACAACUUGAUUUUCCUUGGUAUCUGUAGGAACAGUAAGUGGGAAGAUCUUUAGAAAACGGAGGGAGUACAUUAUAUGUGGGCUACCAAUCGAAGUUGAGAGUAUUUGACACUAGAUUAUGUACCAAUGGAGAGGGAAAAGGGUACAAAAGCUUUAACAGCAGGACAGAAUAAUCCUAAUACGUUCAUGCCAGCUUGAGGAUUAUUUAUGUUUUCGGCAGAGCAAACUUUUAGAAGAUUAUGCUGAUAAGUGAUAAGUGAUGACUAUGAACGGCAUUUCUAUCACUGCGAUGUUUAAGUCAAUUGAUAACAAUUUUGUACAUGUCUCGUAUCUGAGCGUGCAUUAUUUUCAUAAAUACUUCCUCCGUUUCACAAUAAGUGAAACAUAGAGAAAGUGGGGGAGUUACCAAGGAACUUAAAGAGAGAAAGUUAGGACUAUAAUGAAGUAGACUGGAGAAGUAUUGAAGUUGUGGUCCCCUUACUUUUUGGUGGUAUAUUUGUAAUAAGAGUGAAUUUUUUUUACCAUUUGGAGCUUGGUUUCACUCAUUAUAAUUAUUUCAAAUAAGAAAAGUGUUUCACCUAUUGUGAAACGGAGGAAGUAUAUUACUUCUUCUUUUCCUCACCUCUGAUCUCGGUUAAUCGCCUUUUUAGCUUUAUCUAAAAGGAAAAGUUUGUAUUUGGCAAUUUAACAAUUUUGAGAGAGUAUAGAUAGACUUGAUAACUUUUUGUAAUUCUUAUAUCACUAUGAAUUAUGAGCCAAUU